GCUAUCAGCGAGCAGAUCUCACCGACUGCCACCAGCCCCGCCGUCAUUUAGCUGCCAAACAAACGCUGAAAGCAAACACUGGGCGCACCUCGGCCGGGAGACGGAGGGGAAAAGUUCAAUCGUGUAUCUGCCGUGCAAUGAGUCCGCCGUGAAAUGACGGAGCAGCCGUCGAGACGAGCGAGCGCGCUCACGGAAUUCCUUCACUCGUGCGGUUUGCGUCGCGGGGCGGCACAGCGCGGCUCCCCGCUGGCACCGAGCGCGGCCAGGACGGCACGGGGCGCAGAGGCCGGGCAGGGGCGGCGAACCAUCAUCCAUGCCAAUUCAAGAAAAGGCUGAAGAACUGGCAGUGAAAUGCAACCUCUACUACCACAGAGGAAGUGCAAAACUGCUCUAACUGGAAUGCUAUACAUAGAAAGCACUUACAUCAUAUCCUCUGAGAACAGCCAGGUGGAAUGAAAGCAACUGGAGAGGAAUAACACUCAAGAUUCCUUGAAGGCAGUCAACUGUGUGAGGCAGCUCAAUGGUUUUGUAGGCAAAUUUUGAGCUUUCUGUGUCUUCCUUAGAACACAGGAUGAUUGGACGACCCUGAAAGUAAAGUUCUACAGUUAAGAGCUGCUUUGAAAUAUUAGUUCACAGCAUAUCUGUACUAUGUUUGAAAAAAUAAAGAUAGCUAA